rnacentral:rRNA from 1 species
AGUGAACGCUGGCGGUAGGCCUAACACAUGCAAGUCGAACGGCAGCACAGUAAGAGCUUGCUCUUACGGGUGGCGAGUGGCGGACGGGUGAGGAAUACAUCGGAAUCUACUUUUUCGUGGGGGAUAACGUAGGGAAACUUACGCUAAUACCGCAUACGACCUACGGGUGAAAGCAGGGGAUCUUCGGACCUUGCGCGAUUGAAUGAGCCGAUGUAGGAUUAGCUAGUUGGCGGGGUAAAGGCCCACCAAGGCGACGAUCCGUAGCUGGUCUGAGAGGAUGGUCAGCCACACUGGAACUGAGACACGGUCCAGACUCCUACGGGAGGCAGCAGUGUGGAAUAUUGGACAAUGGGCGCAAGCCUGAUCCAGCCAUACCGCGUGGGUGAAGAAGGCCUUCGGGUUGUAAAGCCCUUUUGUUGGGAAAGAAAAGCAGCAGGUUAAUACCCCGCUGUUCUGACGGUACCCAAAGAAUAAGCACCGGCUAACUUCGUG